AUCCAGCUGACGAGUCCCAAAAAGGAUGGAACUUGUGUCCUGGGU
rnacentral:hammerhead_ribozyme from 1 species